GACGAACCGAGCGAACGUUGUUCGGAAUCACUGGGCUUAAAGGGCGCGUAGGCGGCUUGACAAGUCCCGGGGUGAAAUCCCUCGGCUCAACCGAGGAACUGCCUUGGAAACUGUCUGGCUUGAGGCCGGGAGAGGGUAGUGGAAUUCCCAGUGUAGCGGUGAAAUGCGUAGAUACUGGGAGGAACACCGGGUGGCGAAGGCGGCUACCUGGACCGGUUCUGACGCUGAGGCGCGAAAGCGUGGGUAGCAAACAGG
rnacentral:rRNA from 1 species